CGGAGCGUAGCGCAGCUUGGUAGCGCACCUGCUUUGGGAGCAGGGGGUCGCUGGUUCGAAUCCAGUCGCUCCGACCA
rnacentral:tRNA from 2 species